rnacentral:rRNA from 1 species
CCCAGACUCCUACGGGAGGCAGCGGUGGGGAAUAUUGGGCAAUGGGCGCAGGCCUGACCCAGCAACGCCGCGUGAAGGAAGAAGGCUUUCGGGUUGUAAACUUCUUUUAAGAGGGAAGAGCAGAAGACGGUACCUCUUGAAUAAGCUCCGGCUAACUACGUGCCAGCAGCCGCGGUAAUACGUAGGUGGCAAGCGUUAUCCGGAUUUAUUGGGUGUAAAGGGCGUGUAGGCGGGAAUGCAAGUCAGAUGUGAAAACUAUGGGCUCAACCCAUAGCCUGCAUUUGAAACUGUAUUUCUUGAGUGCUGGAGAGGCAAUCGGAAUUCCUAGUGUAGCGGUGAAAUGCGUAGAUAUUAGGAGGAACACCAGUGGCGAAGGCGGCCUGCUGGACGACAACUGACGGUGAGGCGCGAAAGCGUGGGGAGCAAACAGGAUUAGAUACCCCGGUAA